UCAUGUGAGUUGGAGAGCUGUCGGGGACGCGCACAUAGGACAGAGCUGCAGCUGCUGAUCACCGUUUCGCCUGUUUUCAAAAUGUAUUGUACAACAUGGAGGCAAUUUUUAUUGGUGAAUUUUUAAGUUAAACCCAAGAGCAGUGGGCGCAUUCCAAGAGGCAGACCAGAAGAUAUGAGGGGGAGCUGUGACCACUGUCUUCCUUGAAAUAUACAGCAGCCUGUGCAGGAAGAAAAGAAGCUAGUUAUUUCUAAGCAGCGUGGGUCUCCUACACAGUAUGUGCGCCUGUAGCGUGUUCCCAGGGAGAGAAUGAAUCCUUGCGCCUGCUUCCUCCAACUCACUGUGACGUAUUGUGGCAGGCGGAGGCUCCUGCUUCUGUGCUGGAAGAUUUUAAAUAUGGUGCCUGUAAAAGAGAUUUGGAGGAGAACCGCAGGAUAUAAAUGACCAUGCAAGGUGACGGAUUCUUUCAGUUUAACCCACUGAUUGUUGUAUAACAGGGAGUUUUAGAAACAGGGGCAGGUUUUUUAAUUUAAAGGUUUACAAUGUGCGGGCCAUAUUCUGUUAUAUUUUUGGAAUUUGCUGCGGGCCAAUUAAAAAUGGAUCGUGGGCUGCAGUUGGCCCGCGGGCCGUCGUUUGGACACCCCUGUUCUAGGGGCAUUAUUAAUGGAAUUUUCAUUUGACAGUGGCAGGCAGUGAGAGCAGAAGAAGAGCU